CCUGACACUUGACAGACUCCCGCCACCCACCUCUUCAACUUCAGAGAGAGCGCAUCUUUUUAGCGCGCAUGCCCUUUCAUUUGACAAGGCUACUGGCUGAUCUCGUGACACACCUACUGUAUGCGAAUCUUGCCAUCACUCACCUGCAUCUACAAAUAAUGUUGGUCUACCAGGACUACCAUCAGCAAUCUCAAUUGGACCUUGCAAGACGAUGACAUGGCAAUCAACAGACUUUCCAGUUUUCCUUCACAGCGUUCUUCAGGGUGGCUCUAACCAAUGGUGCGGGGG